GGAGGAAUAGGGACAAAGAGAAAAGACCGAUUAUGGCCAAAAUAUCAACAGAUAAAAGUGAAGUGACGAUUCUUACAUCUGAUAAUCCCAGGAAUGAAGAUCCAUUGGACAUCUUGGAUGACAUGUUAGCCGGUGCGGGACGGACCAUGCCGGAUUACUUGAAAUAUGAAGAAAAUGAUUACCAUCCACCUCUACCAAAUGGUCAUCAACUUUUUGUGCAUAAGAAUAGGCGGUGGCUAUAUGUAAUGCCAUUGCAAUGGGUGAAGAAGGCGAUAUGAUUGUGAUUGCUGGUAAAGGCCAUGAAACAUAUCUAAUUCAAGGUGACGAAAAAGAAUUUUUCGAUGACAGAGGAAUGCCGUCAUGCAUUGAAAUAUGGUUAUUGACUAGGAUAUGCCAAGCAGGAAUAGGCACCAGUAAAUCCCAUGGCGGUAUGUU